UGAGAUGACAACCUCACUAGAUAUCCUGGGAGAUGGUGGACGGACCGGGUUCAUAGGGAACCCUAUCGUGAACAUUGUCUCAUACCGGACAGGGUAUGGGGACGACCGCUUUACCCUCAUACCAAACUGGAUAUUGAGGUUUAAUGUCUUGGUACUCAUACUAGACGGGGUAUGGGGUCGGUUAUGUAAUUAAGAUUGUUAAGGAAAAUAGUUCACGUGUAGCGGGGAC
rnacentral:lncRNA from 1 species